rnacentral:rRNA from 1 species
UGACGGUACCAUAGGAGGAAGCCCCGGCUAACUACGCGCCAGCAGCCGCGGUAAUACGUAUGGUGCAAGCGUUAUCCGGAUUUACUGGGUGUAAAGGGAGCGCAGGCGGUCCUGCAAGCCAGAGGUGAAAACCCGGGGCUCAACCCCGUGAUUGCCUUUGGAACUGUAGGACUUGAGUACUGGAGGGGCAGGCGGAAUUCCUGGUGUAGCGGUGAAAUGCGUAGAUAUCAGGAGGAACACCGGUGGCGAAGGCGGCUUACUGGACUGUAACUGACGUUGAGGCUCGAAAGCGUGGGGAGCAAACAGGAUUAGAUACCCUG